UAUAUGACUUUAUUUAACAAGAUAGUUAGUGGAAUUGUAAGGAUAUUGCAUUGUCAUUAACUGACUGAUUUGUUUUAUUAUUGCAUAACUAGAGAGCUCCAUGUGGUUUGUGCAUGCAUAACGAAGGAAAGCAGCAAUGACCUCCAAUAAAGUGAACAUGUAUAAAGUACCUGCAUGGGACUUCUUAAGAGAUCUUUUAUUCAUAUUUCAGCAAUUUUUUGCUGUUGAUUUGCAUAAAUGAUUCACUGUAAUUUGUCUCAGCUCCAUAUAAACAUGUGAGAAAGCUUUCUGGCAAUGAUCUGGUUAUCUUAUUAAAAGAUUCAGGACAUGAAAUGCAACCCCCAUUAACACCGAUUUUGUGUCUGAAGAGUUUUUACUUGGCACAUGUGGUGCAGUGGAAUAACAUACUUCCUUUGAGGGUUAUUCAGUUGUUGCAGGUUUUUCAAUGGUAAACAUUGCGAUACGUCGAACAACAUAGAUCCAGUUGGCAGAUUUUCUGAUGACAUGUCUAUUUUAGCAAGGUGUAGUAUUGCUCAUAGUUUAUCACCUAACAAUUGUUGAUUUGCAUUAUGUAUUUAUUUAAUGCACAUAACUUGUGGUCAUUCAGAACAAGAAAAUCUAUAGAAGAAUGCUGUCUGAUUGUAAAUAGGAUCUUGGGAUCUGCUCAUGUUUAGCAAACUAAAACUCCCGCAGUUUUGCCUCAUGUCUUAACCUUUUCCUCCUCUCUAUCAUUUUAUUAUGGUAAUAUAAAGCCUAUGAAUUAGUAUGGAAUCAGUGGACGUUUAUAUUUGGAACAGACUUCAAAUAACAUUAAGGGUCUAAGCAUUCAGAUAUUUUUUUACCUUUUUUCAAACAUGAACUACAAUGGGUUUGCCAGUAUUUAGCAUCUCUUCUGAGCAUACACUGAAGGUGGGAAACAGAGCAACCAUAAAAAGUUGGCUUAGCAGUAUCAAAAAGAAUUCAUGCUGAAUUUAUGAUCAAAGGAGCUUUAUUGAUCUUCAUCAAUUAAAAUAAUAACAGUUACAGGUACACAACCCGAGAAAGAGAAACAGAAAGAAAGAGUUCCUUCUAUUUCUGCUACAUUAGCCAGAAAAUAAAAUC
rnacentral:lncRNA from 1 species